rnacentral:rRNA from 1 species
GGUUCGAUCCUGGCUCAGAUUGAACGCUGGCGGGGAUGCUACACAUGCAAGUCGAACGCGGCAGCACGGACUUCGGUCUGGUGGCGAGUGGCGAACGGGUGAGUAAUGUAUCGGAACGUGCCUAAUGUAAGGGGAUAACUACGCGAAAGCGUAUGUACCGCAUGCGCCGCUGUGGGGGAAAGCGGGGGACCUUCGGGCCUCGCACUAUUAAAACGGCCGAUAUCGGAUUAGCUAGUUGGUGAGGUAACGGCUCACCAAAGGCGACGAUCCGUAGCUGGUUUGAGAGGACGACCAGCCACACUGGGACGGUACGGCUUGGACUCUGCAGAGGCGGCGGUGGGGGUACGGACAAUGAAGCCUGAUCAAGCCACAUCCGUGUGCGAUGAAGGCCCUUCGGGUUGUACCUUGCUGGCGGAAAAGCGGCUGGGAUGUACGACGGCGGCUGCGUCACCUGCAAGGAGGCUAGCACCUGGCUAACUACGUGCCAGCAGCCGCGGUAAUACGUAAGUGCAAAGCGUUAAUCAGGUUACUGGGCGUAAAGCGUGCGCAGGCGGUUCGGAAGAAAGAUGUGAAAUCGAGCUUAACUGGAACUGCAUUACUGCUUCUGCCACGAAGCUGAAGUGGCUGGCUGGAGGAGACAGAUUCUGCCGUGUAGCAUUCAAAUGCGUAGAUGUGCGGAGAACACCGAUGGCGAAGGCAGCCUCCUGGGAUAACACUGACGCUCAUGCACGAAAGCGUGGGGAGCAAACAGGAUUAGAUACCCUGGUAGUCCACGCCUAAACGAUGUCCAACUAGCUGUUGGGGCCUUCGGAGCCUUGGUAGCGCAGCUAACGCGUAGUUGACCGCCUGGGAAGUACGGUCGCAAGAUUAAACUCAAAAGGAAUUGACGAGGGGACCCGCACAAGCGGUGGAUGAUGUGGAUUAAUUCGAUGCAGCGAAAAGCCGCACACCUACCCUUGACAUGUCUGGAAUCCCGAAGAGAUUUGGGAGUGCUCGCAAGAGAACGGAACACAGGUGCUGCAUGGCUGUCGUCAGCUCGUGUCGUGAGAUGUUGGACAGAUCCGCAACGACGCAACCCUUGUCAUUAGUUGCUACGAAAAGGGCACUCUAAUGAGGCUGCCGGUGACAAACCGGAGGAAGGUGGGGAUGACGUCAAGUCCUCAUGGCCCUUAUGGGUGGGGCUUCACACGUCAUACAAUGGUCGGGACAGAGGUCGCCAACCCGCGAGGAGCCAAUCCCAGAAACCCCGAUCACGUAGUCCGGAUCGCAGUCUGCAACUCGACUGCGUGAGGUCAGAAUCGCUAGUAAUCGCGGAUCAGCAUGUCGGUAUGAUUACGAUUCCCGGGUCACCCUUUUUGCCGAAAUACCAUGGAGGUGGGUUUUAUUCGGAACAGCUGCCGUAAGGAGGGCGAUUACAGUAGGAUUCAUGACUGGGGUGAAGUCGUAACAAGGUAA